rnacentral:misc_RNA from 1 species
AACACUGUUAACCUGCGGUACCUGCGGAGGGAUCAUUAUUGAAUAAACUUGGUCAAGCUGUUGCUGGUCCUUCGGGACAUGUGCACGCUUGCCACCAAUUUUAACCACCUGUGCACUUUUUGUAGACUUGGAAACGUUUCUCGAGGCAACUCGGAUUGAGAACUGCUGGCGCAAGUCGGCUUUUCUUAUGUUUUCUCAGUCUAUGUUUUCAUAUACACCUAACGUAUGUAUCAGAAUGUA